CAGCCUCAUACCACACGCGUUGAGAGAUGCUCAGCUCUGCCCUCGAAGACCAACUCUGGGCCGCCAAGUGGGCCGAGGAAGCCGCCAGAGCUCAAGGGCUCAUCGCCGACGCCUAGGCGGGCAUGUAUCGCCCAAUUCCUGAAUGACUCAAAGGACCUUUUCUCCUUCUUUGUUGCAAAAGAAAAAUAAGGAAGAACGAAGAAACAUUCUAAAUACAUAUGGCGCCCUGCAGGGCCUUUGUUUGUACUUUCUUCGUGUUCAAGUUUAGCGCGUGGUUAUCAUCGUAACGUAGCAUUCUCGACAGGAAAGUAGCGAGCGCAGCGUUUUCAAGGAAGUAAACGCAACAAAGAGAGAUGACGUUUAUCGUUGUGAGACAAGAUCAGCCCCACAGAGUGCAAACUUUUUUAGGAGUCUAGACAAGCGUUAGUGUCUUCGUAUUUGCCUGUAGUCUCCGCCAAAAGACCGCUUUUUUUUUUUCUUAGAAAACCGAUGCCACGCAUUAAAACGAAAAGUCUCAGGUUUUAAAACCGAAACCUCUGUACGCGCCGCAAUGAACCAAUCGGCAUUGUCGCUUCGCAACAUGCACGCGCACGGACGCACGCGCUUCCACCGAGCCGGGGCCCACGCAUUCCGUGCCGCAUUAGCCCUGCUGGUGUUCGAACGCCACUUCAGAGCUGUGUCCACUGUGUCCACCAUCGAGGAUCAUUAAUAUCUUGGCACCUUUUGUCAAGGCUGUUUGAAGUGGGCUUAACACUGUUUGAGUGCACACCUGAAACCUCCUGCGAGCUGCUAAGUCCACGCAGCAUGAUGACAGUGCUGGGCAAUACGUUGGAGCAGCUCAACGAUGCCAUGAGAGCCGACAAAGGCGUGCCUUUCUCCAGGCUCCAAGGCAUCCUAUCACAACUUCCACCAUCAAUCCGGGGCCGGUUCGGUGCAAGAACUGAAACCAUACGGUUGGUGGCGAGACAUUUUCCCAGCAAGAUUGUUGUCGGUUCAGACAACAGAGUUUACACAUCCACACAACCUCUCGCAUCUGCCAGAAACAGUGGAGCAAAGAGCCACAGUGCGGCUGACAAGAAACACCUCAACAUGACUGAUGGACCCAUUGAGCUCUGUAAUGUCACAGGAACCAUCUCAAAGUUGUUAAAGCUUUAUGGUUUUGUCGAUUUGGUACAUCCACUUCGAGCUAGUGUUUCUUUUGACAAGAUAUUAUUCAAGAAAAAUAGGCACCAUGACCUAACAAAGUUGGGGCUCAAGCUAGGCAAUGUAGUCAUAUUAGAUGCAGUAAAAUGUCCACCAAGCCACAGAGCUACGUAUCAGGCCACUCACAUAGAACUUCAAAGAAAAAUGGCACAUACGAGAAGCCCCGCAACGAAGCAGGCAGCGUACCAACCAGGUAGUGACGGCAUUGGAAGUGGACUUCCUGGCUCAAUCCAAGCCGUCAAUUCAAGCCACGCAUAUAUAUUAUUCGGUGAAGACAAUAUGGAGUGUUACUACUUUUCUAUUGAUAACAUUGACGAGUCCUUGCUUCAGCCUGAAAAGAGUUUGAAUGACUUAUUUAGCGUCGGGGACAAGGUUCUCUAUGAUGCCCAACCUCCGAACCCUUACCCCACUGAUGAGCUUUGUGAGAGAGCCUUGGCCAGCUCCGACCUCGAGAAUCGGCAACGGCUGAUUGCGAGGGCCCAUAACGCGGCCUGAGCUCAAGGCAUUCUGGAAUGAGGAUGCCUCUCCAAAGCUGCAUUCACCCGUUAAAAACGUUAAUUCUCUCUCUCUUUCGUUUUCCGACAACGACAUCGCUGAGCUACUGUUUGACCCAAAGGAGUUCUCUGCACGAAGGAAACUGUCCGGUAUCAAAGGCUCAUUCUUCCCAAACUCCAAGAUUACGGGUCUUGUAUCCACUGUUCAACCUAAUGUCAUGGUCCUAGUUCCAGACACAGUGACGUAUUGCAACAGAAGGAAGAUCAGGACAUUCAGCGAGUGGCUGAAAGACAGCUUCGUCCUAGAAGAUUUAGAUGCCUUUAUAGACACCAUCGAAGCUGAACAGGACAUAUGGUUAGCGAUGCUCAUGUGGAAUGGUUGACGUCCCGAGCACGUCCCUGCACUUCGAAUUCUCAGAGAAAAUGACAUCAUUCGGAUUGACUACAUUGUCGGUAUGGUUGGAGGGAGGGUGGAGGUGUGCAGCCGCCUUGUGCAGCACGGCGAAAUGCGUCCCUCAGAGUUUGGCCUGCUGCUGAAGGCCAGGGCGGCGCAGCAAGACAUCCCUGCAGCACCUGGCAAGCUCUGCACACUAGCUCUCACGGCAUUGGACAAGGAGGGCCAAGCAUCCAAGCUGCAACUUUCCCGACGUCCAGAAAUCGGGAACUAACAGUCUGCCUCCAGAACCCGGUUGCUCCAAAUGGCCGUCGUCAGAUUCGCUUGGAAAGAUACUGGCUGUCAAGCAAGAUGGCACUUUUUGUCAAGGCUGUUUGAGUGGGCUUAACACUAUUUGAGUGCACACCUGAAACCUCCUGCCAGGUGCUAAAUCCACGCAGGAUGAUGACACUGCUGGGCAACACGUUGGAGCACCUCCUCAAUGAUGCCAUGAGAGCCGUCAAAGGUGUGCUUCUCUCCAGACUCCAAGGCAUCCUAUCACAACUUCCACCAUCAAUCCGGGGCCGGUUCGGUGCAAGAACUGAAACCAUAGGGUUGGUGGCGAGACAUUUUCCCAGCAAGAUUGUUGUCAGUUCAGACAACAGAGUUUACACAUCCACACAACCUCUCGCAUCUACCAGAAACAGUGGAGCAAAGAGCCACAGUCCGGCUGACAAGAAACAUCUCGACAUGACUGACGCACCCUUUGAGCUCUGUAAUGUCACAGGCACCGUCUCAAAGUUGUUGAUGCUUUAUGGUUUUGUGGAUUUAGUGCGUCCACUUCGAGCUAGUGUUUCUUUUGACAAGGUGUUCUUCAAGAAAAAUAGGCACCAUGACCUAACAAAGUUGGGGCUCAAGCUAGGCAAUGUAGUCAUAUUAGAUGCAGUAAAAUGUCCACCAAGCCACAGAGCUAAGUAUCAGGCCACUCACAUAGAAUUUCUAAGAAAAAUGGCACAUACGAGCAGCCCCGCAACGAAGCAGGCAGCGUACUAACCAGGUAGUGACGGCAUUGGAAGUGGACUUCCUGGCUCAAUCCAAGCCGUCAAUUCAAGCCACGCAUAUAUAUUAUUCGGUGAAGACAAUAUGGAGUGUUACUACUUUUCUAUUGAUAACAUUGACGAGUCCUUGCUUCAGCCUGAAAAGAGUUUAAUGACUUAUUUAGCGUCGGGGACAAGGUUCUCUUUGAUGCCCAACCUCCGAACCCUUACCCCACUGAUGAGCUUUGUGAGAGAGCCUUGGCAAGCUCCGACCUCGAGAAUCGGCAACGGUUGAUCGCGAGUUCCCAUGACGCGGCCUGAGCUGAAGGCAUUCUGGAAUGAGGAUGCCUCUCCAAAGCUGCAUUCACCCGUUAAAAACGUUCAUUCUCUCUCUCUUUCGUUUUCCCCCAACGACAUCGCUGAGCUACUGCUUGACCCAAAGGAGUUCUCUGCACGAAGGAAACUGUCCGGUAUCAAAGGCUCAUUCUUCCCAAACUCCAAGAUUACGGGUCUUGUAUCCACUGUUCAACCUAAUGUCAUGGUCAUAGUUCCAGACACAGUGACGUAUUGCAACAGAAGGAAGAUCAGGACAUUCAGCGAGUGGUUGAAAGACAGCUUCGUCCUAGAAGAUUUAGAUGCCUUUAUAGACACCAUCGAAGCUGAACAGGACAUAUGGUUAGCGAUGCUCAUGUGGAAUGGUUGACGUCCCGAGCACGUCCCUGCACUUCGAAUUCUCAGAGAAAAUGACAUCAUUUGGAUUGACUACAUUGUCGGUAUGGUUGGAGGGAGGGUGGAGGUGUGCAGCCGCCUUGUGCAGCACGGCGAAAGGCCUUCAAACGCGCACCAAAUGCGUCCCUCAGAGUUUGGCCUGCUGCUGAAGGCCAGGGCGGCGCAGCAAGACAUCCCUGCAGCACCUGGCAAGCUCUGCACACUAGCUCUCACGGCAGUGGACAAGGAGGGCCAAGCAGUGCUCCAAGCUGCAACUUUCCCGACGUCCAGAAAUCGGGAACUAACAGUCUGCCUCCAGAAUCCGGUUGCUCCAAAUGGCCGUCGUCAGAUGCGCUUGGAAAGAUACUGGCUGUCAAGCAAGAUGCAUCCCUGGGCAAUGCAAGAGACCAAUUGGUACCCUGAGUUACUGAGCAAGGCAAUAUCAUCAGCGAAUCGCAAGUUACUAAGGUAGUAUUCUCCAUUAACUUUUAUCCCCAAUUCAUCCCAAUCCAGGUCUCUGACUGCCUCCUGUAAACAUGUGUUUAAUAGCAUUGGAAAGAUAGGGGGGGGGGGGGGGGUCGCAUCGGUGGCGCAGCCUCGAACAAAACGCGUUGGGAGAUGCUCAGCUCUGCCCUCGAAGACCAACUCUGGGCCGCCAAGCGGGCCGAGGAAGCCGGCAGAGCUCAAGGGCUCAUCGCCGACGCCUAGGCGGGGAUGUAUUGUGCAAUCCCCGAAUAACUCAACGGACCUUUUCUCUUUCUUUGUUGCAAAACAAAAAAGAGAGAAGAAGGAAAAAAGAAGAAACAUUCUAAAUACAUAUAUGACGCCCUGCAGGGCCUUUGUUUGUACUUUCUUCGUGUUUGUUCAAGUUUUGCGCGUGGUUAUCGUCGUGACGUAGCAUUCUCGACAGGAAAGUAGCGAGCGCAGCGUUUUCAAGGAAGUAAAUGCAACAAAGAGAGAUGACGGUUAUCGUUGUUUUUCUUAGAAAACCGAUGCCACGUGUUAAAACGAAGUCUUAGGCUUUAAAACCGAAACCUCUGUACGCGCCGCAAGGAACCAAUCGGCAUCGUCGCUUCGCAACAUGCAUGAGCACGGACGCACGCGCAUCGAGCGAGCCUGGUCCCACGCAUUCCGUGCCGCAAUAACCCUGCUGGUGUUCGAACGCCACUUCAGAGCUGUGUCCACUGUGUCCACCAUCGAGGAGCAUUGAUAUCUUGGCACUUUUUGUCAAGGCUGUUUGAGUGGGCUUAACACUAUUUGAGGUGCUAAAUCCACGCAGGAUGAUGACACUGCUGGGCAACACGUUGGAGCACCUCCUCAAUGAUGCCAUGAGCGCCGUCAAAGGCGUGCUUCUCUCCAGACUCCAAGGCAUCCUAUCACAACUUCCACCAUCAAUCCGCGGCCGGUUCGGUGCAAGAACUGAAACCAUAGGGUUGGUGGCGAGACAUUUUCCCAGCAAGAUUGUUGUCAGUUCAGACAGCAGAGUUUACACAUCCACACAACCUCUCGCAUCUACCAGAAACAGUGGAGCAAAGAGCCACAGUCCGGCUGACAAGAAACAUCUCGACAUGACUGACGCACCCUUUGAGCUCUGUAAUGUCACAGGCACCGUCUCAAAGUUGUUGAUGCUUUAUGGUUUUGUGGAUUUAGUGCGUCCACUUCGAGCUAGUGUUUCUUUUGACAAGGUGUUCUUCAAGAAAAAUAGGCACCAUGACCUAACAAAGUUGGGGCUCAAGCUAGGCAAUGUAGUCAUAUUAGAUGCAGUAAAAUGUCCACCAAGCCACAGAGCUAAGUAUCAGGCCACUCACAUAGAACUUCAAAGAAAAAUGGCACAUACGAGCAGCCCCGCAACGAAGCAGGCAGCGUACCAACCAGGUAGUGACGGCAUUGGAAGUGGACUUCCUGGCUCAAUCCAAGCCGUCAAUUCAAGCCACGCAUAUAUAUUAUUCGGUGAAGACAAUAUGGAGUGUUACUACUUUUCUAUUGAUAACAUUGACGAGUCCUUGCUUCAGCCUGAAAAGAGUUUAAUGACUUAUUUAGCGUCGGGGACAAGGUUCUCUUUGAUGCCCAACCUCCGAACCCUUACCCCACUGAUGAGCUGUGUGAGAGAGCCUUGGCCAGCUCCGACCUCGAGAAUCGGCAACGGUUGAUUGCGAGGUCCCAUGACGCGGCCUGAGCUGAAGGCAUUCUGGAAUGAGGAUGCCUCUCCAAAGCUGCAUUCACCCGUUAAAAACGUUCAUUCUCUCUCUCUUUCGUUUUCCGACAACGACAUCGCUGAGCUACUGCUUGACCCAAAGGAGUUCUCUGCACGAAGGAAACUGUCCGGUAUCAAAGGCUCAUUCUUCCCAAACUCCAAGAUUACGGGUCUUGUAUCCACUGUUCAACCUAAUGUCAUGGUCCUAGUUCCAGACACAGUGACGUAUUGCAACAGAAGGAAGAUCAGGACAUUCAGCGAGUGGUUGAAAGACAGCUUCGUCCUAGAAGAUUUAGAUGCCUUUAUAGACACCAUCGAAGCUGAACAGGACAUAUGGUUAGCGAUGCUCAUGUGGAAUGGUUGACGUCCCGAGCACGUCCCUGCACUUCGAAUUCUCAGAGAAAAUGACAUCAUUCGGAUUGACUACAUUGUCGGUAUGGUUGGAGGGAGGGUGGAGGUGUGCAGCCGCCUUGUGCAGCACGGCGAAAGGGCUUCAAACGCGCACCAAAUGCGUCCCUCAGAGUUUGGCCUGCUGCUGAAGGCCAGGGCGGCGCAGCAAGACAUCCCUGCAGCACCUGGCAAGCUCUGCACCCUAGCUCUCACGGCAGUGGACAAGGAGGGCCAAGCAGGGCUCCAAGCUGCAACUUUCCCGACGUCCAGAAAUCGGGAACUAGCAGUCUGCCUCCAGAACCCGGUUGCUCCAAAUGGCCGUCGGCAGAUUCGCUUGGAAAGAUACUGGCUGUCAAGCAAGAUGUACCCUUCCUGUCACUACCCUCACGUCCUGCCACCAGCAAUGCUACCAUAAACGGGAAAUCCACUGCAGCUGCCCCCCCACCUGGAGCCUACAGUCUGCAUCUUCUUGGGCAGAAUGGAGUAAUGCAAGUCUUUGACUCUUCCGAUAUGGUGGAAGCCAGGGAGGGGCAGACUUUCUGGGAGGUGGCGGUCACUGUGGACAGCUUCUACAGGGAUGGCAGGACGGUCUUGAGCCAACUCAACCCGGAAUCGUGCGAAAUAGUUCGAUGUAGUCAAAUUUGAUAUAUAAAAUCAUGUAAAAAACGCGUAAAGAGCUUUUACAAAUCAAUCAAUGAACUUCACACAAAGUAUCUAUUUCUUUGGCUGUAAGUACUGCAGCAGUGUAGCCUGCUGCUUAUAGGCAGCCACGUGCUUAACCGUGGUGUCGUCAACAUAGUCUAAACGAUCCACAAACAAUAGGCCGACGCCUUCUAUUGUGCCGUAGUAGCGGCGCAGAAGGGCCAAAUUAAGCAGCUACAGCCUCAGUUGAAGUUGGGACCGCGGCAAAAUGAACGCUUGCGGGAUCAACCUCGGCAGUGUCUUCGCGUUUGGCUGCUACUUCCACUGCAAUCUCUACAUCCCAAGUGACCUUCUGUUUCUUGCAAAGGAACACUGGGACUGUUUUGUAUUCAGUUUCAUUAUUCGUUUGAGUUCUUUAUUCCCCAGGGAGCGCUUCUGUUCUUCGUUUUUUAUAUAUGGUUGUAUAUGUUGAAUAAACGGCUUUUUACAUCGGGACGGCUGGAGCCUGACUUCGACCUUCGAAAGUGCCUCAUUGGCGACGAGGAUGUCGUGAACGUACCCCCAGCCCCGCUGCACCAUCUUCAUCCGCCCACCACGAGUUUCACCGGGCUUGCUCUGCCGCCGUUUUUCCUUGCAACUCCUGGGCGCCCGUCAUUGCCAUGGGAGCAGUGGGAAAAGAUGUUCAACGUGUACUUGCUGGUAUCCGGAGCCGCCACAUUCAAGCGGGAGCAACGCAAGGCUAUUUUUUUGCAUUGUUUGGGGGCGGAGGGCCAGCAUAUUUAUCAGACGCUGCAUGCAGGGACCAGCGCUGCAGCACCGGCAACGCCAAGUGCCGCAGCACUCGCCGAUGACAAGUCUGUCCUGGCCCCUCCUGGCAGUUACGACUCGGCACUCGCUGCAUUGCGGCACCAAUUUUCGACAUCGUGCAACGUUAUCGUCGAGUGUCAUCGCUUUCACUGCCGCAGGCAAAACACAGGCGAGUCCGUUCAUGAAUUUCUUGCUGCUCUGCGAGAGCUAGCGUCACAUUGUUCGUCUGCCUUGCAAGAUGAUACUCUGCGGGAUCAAUUCGUUAUCGGCAUAGCUUCCACUGGCGUACGUGAGUGGUUCCUGCUCGAGGGUUCCACACUUUCAUUUGAGAAUUUAUUUCGAAUUGCACUUCAGUUUGAGCAAAUGGCUAAAGAGUUAAAGGAACUUUGUGCUUCGGUCGAAGCAACUUCAUUGCGGCAGCGUCUUAAACCAUCGUCGCAUUUUUCGCAAAAAAAAGCAAUUCACAGCCGACAGCCACCUUUCAGCAGAAUUUAACGAGGAGUGUGCGCGGCUCACGUGCGCCACAUCGGAACCGCCCCCUGAACGGAACCGAGAACAGAGUAGACGCACCGUUUCGCCACAUUGUUUCCGAUGCGGCUUGUGGGACCACAUCGGCCGCAGUGCCCAGCCCCUGACAAGACUUGUUCGUUUUGUGGUCGCAAGGGCCACUUUCAAAGGGUGUGCAACCGCAAACGAACUCAGAUGCAAGGCCGAGUUAGUGAAGUUUAAUUUCAUGAAGAUGUUUCAUCAUCUAGUAGUGCUGAGCAAGUUUUGACUGUGCAACGUUCCACGCGUAGCGGAAUCCAUGUUCAAGUGCAAGUUGCGAAUGUCACCUUGACAUUCCUUGUCGAUUCAUGGUCGUCUGUGUCAAUCAUGUCGGAGCAAGAAUUCAGUCUAUAUUUUCAGAGCGUUCCGCUCCUGCCUUCUCUGCAUGUUACUCUGUUUGACUACUCUCAACGACCGAUUUCCGUGCUAGGUUGUUUCCAGGCAGACGUUCGGUUUAAAGGUCGCACAGCGUCGCUACGUUUUUAUGUUGUUCACCGAGGAACUUGUCUGAUCGGUCUUGGCGGCAUUAAAGGCUUGAAUCUUCGCAUUGAGGGUUCUGCUCUCAAGUGCUUGUACACGUACAUUGCUCCGCUGCCGACUAUCGUUGACCCGCUAUCCUGUUCCAUUUCCACACCGUCAAGCGCGCAGCCCCGUGGCAAACAUCUUCCGCCAGCCUUAGCACGUGAAUUCAGUUCACUUUUCAGUCCUGAGUUGGGUCUUGCUAAGGGGUUCACGCAUCGCAUCAAGACGCAGCAAGGCGGGCAGCCUGUAACUUCGAAGCUUCGCCGUCUGCCAUAUUCUUUCCGGUCAUCAGUAUCAAAUGAUGUUCAGAGGUUGCUGAGCCUUGUCAUCAUUGAAUGCAUCGAUGCUUCUGAAUAGGUGUCCCCCAUUGUUGUUAACAAGAAAGAUGGUAGCAUCAGGAUAUGUGUAGAUAUUCGAGAGCCGAACUAAGCUAUUCUUCCAGACAGUUUCCCGUUGCCCCACACAGAGGAACUGCUUCACGCUUUGGUAGGCACUACACACUUCUUAAAACUUGACUUGGCUUCCUGUUAGGUUCUCUUGCACCCUGACAGCAGGGAUCUGACAGCUUUCAUCACUCGUGAUGGUCUUUUCAGUUUUUUAAAACGGAAAAGUUUGCUUUGGGUUGGUUUUCGCCCCAGCGGCAUUUCAGAAGAUGGUGACAAUCCUUGACUGCUGCCCUGGCAUGUUCUACAUUGACGAUGUCAUCAUUUUUGGCAAGACUGCAGAAGAACACUUUUCAAACUGGAAGACCGUGCUGCAAAAUAUCAAGAACGCAGGUCUGAAACUGAACCACAAAUGCCUCUUCAAUGUUCCAGAACUUGCGUUUCUAGGGCACAAGGUCACCGCACGUGGUAUUUCGCCACAUCCAUAGAAGGUAGACUCUAUAGUUAACACACCAGUGCCAACUGAUGCUGGCACCCUUCUUUCAUUCCUGGGUCUCGUAGAAUAUUACUCCAAGUUUGUUCGACACUUGACGCAAGUGGUCGAGCGUAUGAGAGUCUUACUUUGCAAAAAUGAGCCGUUCGUCUGGUCAGCUGAAGUAGACAGCAGUUUCAGGAGGGUCAAGGAAAUGCUUUCGUCCUUCCAGUACAGGCCGUCCAUAUGUUUGAUCCAUCACUUCCAGUUAUUGUGUCGACCGACGCGUUUGACUGUGGGCAGGGAGCAGUCCUGCAGCAACACAGUGGCCCCGAGCUCUGCACUCUCUGGAUAAGCAAGUGGAAACGGCAGUAGAAAACUGCCACAUUUGCCUGGAGGCAGAUAAGUCUGCCAACACAUCACCAGCACCGUUGCAACCUGUUGAAUGGCCUGAGCGACCGUGGCAUAAGCUUGGCCUAGACAUUGUUGGGCCUUUGGAGCAUGCAGCUUACAACAGCAGAUUUGCUGUAACACUUGUUGACUACCGUUCUAAAUAGCCGAAGGUAUAUUUUUGCAGCGAAGUGUCCACGAGCACCGUGAAAGAUGUUUUAACAAGUGUUUUUGCCCAUGAAGGCUACCCAUAAGAGAUUGUUUGUGACAAUGGGCCUCAGCUCACUUCGCCUGAUUUCAUCACUUUCCUGCAAAACGGAAGCAUCAGUCUUUCACAUUCUUCGGCCUACUACACCCAAGCCAAUGGGCAAAUAGAAUGUUUCAAUCGCACAUUGAAAAACUUGAUUCAAGUCGCACUCCUCGAAAUAUGACCACUCCGGCGAGCUGCCACAGAAUACCUUGCCAUUUACCGCUGUACUCCGCACGCCACCACCGGGGUUGCCCCAGCAGUUCUGCUGCAUGGUAGAAUGCCCCGAGCCAGGCUGGAUGUCGUGGGUUUCUCAGCUCCAGCAUUUGCGGAAGACCCAGCCAAGGAGUUGGCGCGACUUCGUCAAAGGGUUCGGCGUCAACAGCAGAGCAGCAAGCACUACACGGACAAAAGGAGAGCCACCAAGAAGACGAAGAUAGCCGUUGGUAACUUUGUCCAUAUCAAAAAACCGUCCGUUCGUGUCAAGGGAGACUGCGCCUUUUCUUGACCUACUAAGGUGAUCAAGAGGAGGGGAGCAGCCUCUUUCCGACUUGGAGACGGCCAUAAAUGGAAUGCCUCCAAGCUUUCCAGGGUUCCAGAGAGGGGCACCUGGGAACCAGGCCAGCCUGCCAAUUUACAGCCGCGAUCUCCUGAUGCGCUGCAGCCCGCCACGCCACAGCCUUAGUCCCCUGAUGUGCUGCAGCCUGCUGUACUACAGCCGUGUUCGCUCAGGAUGCAGGCACAGCCUCCUGGCAUACUGCAGCAGCAAUCUACGAGCCCGUAGCCAUUGUUGCCAGUGCGACAUAGAAAGCGGCCGACCCAAGAGCGCCGGCCACCGGCCUGGCUCCAAGACUACGAGACCAACUAGUUGGUCGUCUGACAUUGUAUACAUACUCUGUAAAUAUGUGUAAAUAAGUACAGUGUGCAUGCCUUGGGGUUUCCUUACUAAUACUUACUAACAACUAAUCACUAAAAAUAAGGGGAGGGGUAUGUUGUAUUCAGUUUCGUUAUUCAUUUCGUUUCUUUAUUUGCCAGGAGGGGCUUCUGUUCUUCCUUAUAUAUAUGGUUGUAUAUAUUGAAUAAACGGCUUUUUACAUCGAGACGGCUGCAGCCUGACUUCAACCUUCGAAAAUACCACAGACUGCUUACCCCUAAUAUCAGUGUUGCCAUAGCCACCGUGCUCCUGAAGCUCUUGCUGCUGCUCUAGGCCUCCGAAAAGUGAGCUAAGUUUUUUCUUCCCGUGCCUCUCUCUCAGCACAUCAUGUUCACAGUACAAGCUGACUUUGGAGCAUUGGACAUUGGACAUUUGGACAUUGAGAGUUUUGUAUUGGGUCUGUGAUUGCGAGUGUGAACCGGCAACAGACACACUCAAGCAAUCGCGGCACGAGUUUACGCAGUCUUCAACAUGCCACAGAAAAACACAGGAACACGUCUGCUUCACUAAAACUCUUACAUAAGUUUCGUAGGCUUUGUUCUGACGUGUGUUGGCAGGACACCCUUCCGGUGGCUUGUAGCAAUGCAAAUUCAAAAGUCGUGCCUAUCUGCUCCCGGCGAGCUGAUUGGAGGCGCAAAUUGAAAUGGCACACUAACAUGGCUACAUUUCAGACUUCAAAAACGCUACUUCAGGGCCUCUCCUAUUUUGUUUCUUUCCUGCAUGGGUUCAUGAGCGCCGCCAUGUUGCUACGUUGAGGUUGCCAGCUCCCGAGACGAUUGCUAGACUUGACAAUAGUCAACAAGAGUGGUUGCUUGGGCUAAUUCAUGGUAAAAAUGUCGUACAGCAUGAAGGACAAGGGCUGAGAAUGAUGAUAAACACAGUAGUCAGAGCAACCGAUAGCGUGUUGCUUGUAAUGGUGCAAUGUGGUGUGCGUGCAGCUGUGUGUGGGGGUGUCUGGGCUUUAUUCUAUGGUACGGGUGUUGGCUGUGCAGGUGGCAGUUAUGCAGUCAAAGGAUGAUCCUGUUAAAGUUUCCGGUGGUGUGUGGUUUUCAACGGUCACACACUGUUAGCUGUUGCAAGCGUCGCUUAACGAGGUUAUGUGUCAGGAGCUCGGAGCUCUGCUUGGCCGAUUCCUCGUUGGAGUUUGAAGUGUUGGUCGGCAGAUCCCUCGUUGGGCAUUCCAUAAUUCUCCUCGCACGGGCGCGGUAUGUUGCAGAACCCGCAGGGUGGUUUUGUUCUCGCGACGGUAGGUUGGUUUCUUUACAAGUACUGAUCUAGCUGGAGAGCACGUGUAACCGACAAAUGGAAGUAUCAGGAGGGCAUAUGAGAUUAUAAUUAAGCAGGCUGCGCAGGAUCUCCAGGGCACCAAAGGGACAGUGGGUGUAUCAAAGUCCAAGCAUGGUAGUCCGUAGGUUGGGGUCGCCAAGGCCGGUGCGUGCCAGGGAAUGUUUGCACAGGCAGCUCCCUAGGCACGCACAGCAGUGUCUCACAAGGUGGAGAUACUUUAAAGGCACCUGUGCCCAUGAUCUUUUGUCUCGUGGCGCAGUGAGCACGAUUAACCAGAAGAAUAUGGAGGGCAUCCGGUGCAGUCGCGAAUGCGAGUGAUGGCAUAUAUAGCUCGCGUCGCCAGAGGUAUGUAAUAAUACCAGAGUUAGUUGUAUGAACCGUAUGCUUAAUAUGCUUUGUUACGGUACCCUAAAGGAAUGGGUCAAGAGGACGUUAUAUUGCAUGCAUUUGGUAUGUUUGUUCGUGCCGCAUCUACUCCUAUACCCCCCCCACGCGCGCACCCACCCUUCUUUUUUCUUUUUUAUAUGUGUACAUAUAAUCCCUCCCCAUGACGGAUUAACCAGUUGAAGUUGUCAACUUGUCACUAAAAAAUAACCGUCAUAUGCAUUACCAUAAUAAACAAUUCCACAAUGAGA